rnacentral:rRNA from 1 species
CCAGACUCUACGGGAGGCAGCAGUGGGGAAUAUUGCACAAUGGGGGAAACCCUGAUGCAGCAACGCCGCGUGAGUGAAGAAGUAUUUCGGUAUGUAAAGCUCUAUCAGCAGGGAAGAAGAAAGACGGUACCUGACUAAGAAGCCCCGGCUGACUACGUGCCAGCAGCCGCGGUAAUACGUAGGGGGCGAGCGUUGUCCGGAAUGACUGGGCGUAAAGGGAGUGUAGGCGGCUCUUUAAGUUAUAUGUGAAAUCCCGCGGCUUAACCGUGGAAGUGCAUAUAAAACUGGGGAGCUGGAGUGCAGGAGAGGUGAGUGGAAUUCCUAGUGUAGCGGUGGAAUGCGUAGAUAUUAGGAAGAACACCGGUGGCGAAGGCGGCUCACUGGACUGUAACUGACGCUGAGGCUCGAAAGCGUGGGGAGCAAACAGGAUUAGAUACCCCCGUAUU